rnacentral:rRNA from 1 species
GACGAACGCUGGCGGCAUGCCUAACACAUGCAAGUCGAGCGAGUAGAUCCCUUCGGGGUGAAGCUAGCGGCGGACGGGUGAGUAACACGUGGGCAACCUGCCUCAUAGAGGGGAAUAGCCUUCCGAAAGGAAGAUUAAUACCGCAUAAGAUUGUAGUACCGCAUGGUAUAGCAAUUAAAGGAGUAAUCCGCUAUGAGAUGGGCCGGCGGCUCAUUAGCUAGUUGGUGAGGUAACGGCUCACCAAGGCGACGAUGCGUAGCCGACCUGAGAGGGUGAUCGGCCACAUUGGGACUGAGACACGGCCCAGACUCCUACGGGAGGCAGCAGUGGGGAAUAUUGCACAAUGGGGGAAACCCUGAUUCAGCAAUGCCGCGUGAGUGAUGGCGGCCUUCGGGUUGUAAAGCUCUGUCUUCGGGGACGAUAAUGACGGUACCCGAGGAGGAAGCCACGGCUAACUACGUGCCAGCCGCCGCAGUAA